GCAGUAAAUCGCCUUAUCGCUGUUUUGGUUUAUUCAAAAUGGAGGAAAGUCCGAACACCGUAGUGCAACAUAGUGGCUAAUAACCACCAGCCGUGAGGUUAGGAAAAGUGCAACAGAAAGUAUGUACAGGUCAUGCUGUAGUGAAACCAGGUAAACUCUAUGUGGUGCAAUGUCAUGUAAACCAACGUUUGAGGGCGGCACGCUCGAUUGUUGGAGGGUAGGCAGCUAAAGUGUAUUGGUAACAAUGCAUGUAGAUAAAUGAUAAGGGCUUUUUUAGCAAUAAAAAAGUACAGAAUUCGGCUUAUAGAUUUACUUAAAUA
rnacentral:RNase_P_RNA from 1 species